AUUAGGUAGUUGGUUAGGUAAUGGCUUCCAAGCCGUUGAUCGGUACGGGUUGUGAGAGCAAGAGCCCGGAGAUGGAACCUGAGACAAGGUUCCAGGCCCUACGGGGUGCAGCAGGCGCGAAACCUCCGCAAUGUGAGAAAUCGCGAUGGGGGGAUCCCAAGUGCCAUUCUUAACGGGAUGGCUUUUCAUUAGUGUAAAGAGCUUUUGGAAUAAGAGCUGGGCAAGACCGGUGCCAGCCGCCGCGGUAACACCGGCAGCUCUAGUGGUAGCAAUUUUUAUUGGGCCUAAAGCGUCCGUAGCCGGUUUAAUAAGUCUCUGGUGAAAUCCUGUAGCUUAACUGUGGGAAUUGCUGGAGAUACUAUUAGACUUGAGACCGGGAGAGGUUAGAGGUACUCCCAGGGUAGAGGUGAAAUUCUGUAAUCCUGGGAGGACCGCCUGUUGCGAAGGCGUCUAACUGGAACGGUUCUGACGGUGAGGGACGAAAGUUAGGGGCGCGAACCGGAUUAGAUACCCGGGUAGUCCUAACUGUAAACGAUGCGGACUUGGUGUUGGGGUGGCUUUGAGCUGCUCCAGUGCCGAAGGGAAGCUGUUAAGUCCGCCGCCUGGGAAGUACGGUCGCAAGACUGAAACUUAA
rnacentral:rRNA from 1 species